UCUGUAGCCCCAUGAAGCUUAUAGCAGAAACCAAGAAGAAUCUGAAAAGUUGAGCCAAAACAAUAUCCGUGGCAGCAGAGUGAAGAAGAAAAGGACCUAGGGCCAUGGGUAGUAACAGAGGGAUAUGCUGUUUGUUCAGCAUAUCAGAUGACUUUGCUGGUGACCCACCAUUCUAGGAUUAUUCCCUAGGUCAAGUGAGAAGGACAUUCAGGAAGAGUAUCGUUAUAUAGCAUUAGAUGUAUGGAGUUGUUUAGGAAAGACCUUUGAUAAUGAUAUAAUGGAAAGGUGUAGCCAUGUAGCCAGACAAAUGCCUCCUAAUCUUUAUAAAAAUUGGAAGGGUGUCUGAAUUUGGUAAUAUCUACA
rnacentral:lncRNA from 10 species